rnacentral:rRNA from 1 species
GUUAGACUGGGCUCUAGGCGCACACAGUGCGGCCCAGCCCAACCGCCCCCAGCCUUUCCUCCUCCUCCUCGCUAGAGGAGAAGGCCGGGGUGCCAUGGCCGCGGGCACCCGGCGCCGCACACGGCCGAGACGCGAGGGGAUAAGAGCGACCCCAGCCUCCCUCUCCCUCUGCAACCCUAGCCCCCAAAUCCCCCUCCCCCUUGCUCGAAUUCGACGACCUAAACAAGGCCGAGCUCGUGGUCGUCGUCAUCUUCGUCGAUCCCGUGGCCACCGGCCACCGUUUGCCACAAUUUUAUGCCCAGGAGCUCCGGCUGCCUCGUCUACUUCAUCUACGGCCAUCAGUUCGAGUCCCCUCGCGCUACAUCGCCAGGAUCGAGUCUUCUUCCUCCUUCGGCCGCCGCCGUUCUCCAUCGACCCAUUGCCGUUCUGCGCUCCUAAGCUCUCAACGAGCCUCCAUGCGCUCCUUGACUACGAGACUGAUGCCACUGCUGGUGCCCCGAUCGACUACGGUGUUGAUGACCCCUCCUUGCCAGAACAACCAGAUGCUGGAGCCCAGGAGCCAGACGCCACCCUCGACGACGACUCCUACUACACUUGAGGUGCCUACUACUACGUGCAGGCCGCUGACGAUGACCAGGAGUAGUUAGGAGGAUCCCAGGCAGGAGGCGUGCGCCUCUUUCGAUCUGUAUCCCAGUUUGUGUUAGCCUUCUUAAGGCAAACUUGUUUAACUUAUGUCUGUACUUAGAUAUUGUUGCUUCCGCUGACUCGUGUAUGAUCGAGCACUUGUAUUCGAGCCCUCGAGGCCCCUGGCUUGUAUUAUGAUGCUUG